rnacentral:rRNA from 1 species
AUUGAACGCUGGCGGCAGGCCUAACACAUGCCAGUCGAGCGGAUGAAGGGAGCUUGCUCCUGGAUUCAGCGGCGGACGGGUGAGUAAUGCCUAGGAAUCUGCCUGGUAGUGGGGGAUAACGUCCGGAAACGGGCGCUAAUACCGCAUACGUCCUGAGGGAGAAAGUGGGGGAUCUUCGGACCUCACGCUAUCAGAUGAGCCUAGGUCGGAUUAGCUAGUUGGUUGGGUAAAGGCCUACCAAGGCGACGAUCCGUAACUGGUCUGAGAGGAUGAUCAGUCACACUGGAACUGAGACACGGUCCAGACUCCUACGGGAGGCAGCAGUGGGGAAUAUUGGACAAUGGGCGAAAGCCUGAUCCAGCCAUGCCGCGUGUGUGAAGAAGGUCUUCGGAUUGUAAAGCACUUUAAGUUGGGAGGAAGGGCAGUAAGUUAAUACCUUGCUGUUUUGACGUUACCAACAGAAUAAGCACCGGCUAACUUCGUG